rnacentral:rRNA from 1 species
AGGGAAUAGAUACCCUGGUAGUCCACGCCCUAAACGAUGCAUAUUUGGUGUGGGCAGUUCAUUCUGUCCGUGCCGGAGCUAACGCGUUAAAUAUGCCGCCUGGGGAGUACAGUCGCAAGGCUGAAACUCAAAGGAAUUGACGGGGGCCCGCACAAGCGGUGGAGCAUGUGGUUCAAUUCGACGCAACGCGAAGAACCUUACCUGGGCUCGAACGGCUGAUCAACGGCGGUGGAAACAUCGCUACCCGCAAGGGGGUUCAGUCGAGGUGCUGCAUGGCUGUCGUCAGCUCGUGUCGUGAGAUGUUGGGUUAAGUCCCGCAACGAGCGCAACCCUUGUCCUGUGUUGCCAUGUCGAAAGACGGAACUCGCAGGAGACCGCCAGGGAUAACCUGGAGGAAGGUGGGGAUGACGUCAAGUCCUCAUGGCCUUUAUGUCCAGGGCUACACACGUGCUACAAUGGACGGUACAAAGCGCAGCGAACUCGCGAGAGGGAGCCAAUCGCAAAAACCGUUCUCAGUUCGGAUUGCA